rnacentral:rRNA from 1 species
CCUACGGGAGGCAGCAGUGAGGAAUAUUGGUCAAUGGACGAGAGUCUGAACCAGCCAAGUAGCGUGAAGGAUGACUGCCCUAUGGGUUGUAAACUUCUUUUAUAUGGGAAUAAAACGUUCCACGUGUGGGAUUUUGUAUGUACCAUAUGAAUAAGGAUCGGCUAACUCCGUGCCAGCAGCCGCGGUAAUACGGAGGAUCCGAGCGUUAUCCGGAUUUAUUGGGUUUAAAGGGAGCGUAGGUGGAUUGUUAAGUCAGUUGUGAAAGUUUGCGGCUCAACCGUAAAAUUGCAGUUGAAACUGGCAGUCUUGAGUACAGUAGAGGUGGGCGGAAUUCGUGGUGUAGCGGUGAAAUGCUGAGAUAUCACGAAGAACUCCGAUUGCGAAGGCAGUUCACUGAACUGCAACUGACACUGAGGCUCGAAAGUGUGGGUAUCAAACAGGAUUAGAUACCCGGGUAGUC